ACGGCUCAGUAACACGUGGACAAUCUACCCUAUGGAAGAGGAUAACCCCGGGAAACUGGGGAUAAUACUCUAUAGACUAUGGAAGCUGGAAUGCUCUGUAGUCGAAAGGUCCGCCGCCAUAGGAUGGGUCUGCGGCCGAUUAGGUUGUUGUUGGGGUAACGGCCCAACAAGCCUGUAAUCGGUACGGGUUGUGGGAGCAAGAGCCCGGAGAUGGAUUCUGAGACACGAAUCCAGGCCCUACGGGGCGCAGCAGGCGCGAAAACUUUGCAAUGCGGGAAACCGUGACAGGGGAACUCCGAGUGCCCGUAAAAUCGGGCUGUCCAUCGGUUUAAAUAACCGGUGAAGAAAGGGCCGGGCAAGACCGGUGCCAGCCGCCGCGGUAAUACCGGCGGCUCGAGUGGUGGCCACUAUUACUGGGCUUAAAGCGUUCGUAGCUGGUUUGUUAAGUCCCUGGGGAAAUCUUCCGGCUUAACCGGAAGGCGUCUCAGGGAUACUGGCAGACUAGGGACCGGGAGAGGUGAGGGGUACUCCAGGGGUAGGAGUGAAAUCCUGUAAUCCUUGGGGGACCACCUGUGGCGAAGGCGCCUCACCAGAACGGCUCCGACAGUGAGGGACGAAAGCUGGGGGAGCAAACCGGAUUAGACACCCGGGUAGUCCCAGCUGUAAACGAUGCGCGUUAGGUGUAUCAGUGACCACGAGUCACUGAGGUGCCGAAGAGAAAUCGUGAAACGUGCCGCCUGGGAAGUACGGUCGCAAGGCUGAAACUUAAAGGAAUUGGCGGGGGAG
rnacentral:rRNA from 1 species